rnacentral:rRNA from 1 species
AGGAUGAACGCUGGCGGCGUGCUUAACACAUGCAAGUUGUGCGGUGAUCUCAAGAAGUUUUCGGACGGAAAGGGAGAGCAGCAGCGGACGGGUGAGUAAAGCACAAGGACUUGUCCCGAAGAGGGGGACAACUGUGGGAAACCACAGCUAAUACCCCAUAAGCCGAGAGGUGAAAGCAGUAAUGCGCUUUAGGAGAGACUUGUGUCCUAUCAGGUAGUUGGUGAGGUAACGGCUCACCAAGCCGAAGACGGGUAGCCGGACUGAGAGGUUGUACGGCCACAUUGGAACUGAGAGACGGUCCAGACUCCUACGGGAGGCAGCAGUGGGGAAUAUUGGGCAAUGGGGGGCCAACCCUGACCCAGCGACGCCGCGUGAGGGAAGACAGCCUUCGGGUUGUAAACCUCUGUUGCAGGGGAAGAAGAAAGUGACGGUACCCUGCGAGGAAGCUCCGGCAAACUACGUGCCAGCCGCCGC